UACAGAGGUGCCAAGCGUUGUUCGGAUUUAUUGGGCGUAAAGGGUGCGUAGGCGGUGAUGCAAGUCGGUUGUGAAAUUCCGGAGCCUAACUCCGGAACUGCAUUCGAAACUGCAUCGCUCGAGGUCUGGAGAGGUGAUUGGAAUUCUAGGUGUAGCAGUGAAAUGCGUAGAUAUCUAGAGGAACACCAGAGGCGAAAACGAAUCACUGGACAGAACCUGACGCUGAGGCACGAAAGCUAGGGGAGCAAACGGG
rnacentral:rRNA from 1 species